GCUUACGGCCAUACCAGCCUGGGUACGCCCGAUCUCGUCUGAUCUCGGAAGCUAAGCAGGGUCCGGCCUGGUUAGUACUUGGAUGGGAGACCGCCUGGGAAUACCAGGUGCUGUAAGCA
rnacentral:rRNA from 1 species